GGGCAAUUGGUCUAGGGGUAUGAUUUUCGCUUCGCAUUCAAUUGCCAAUGUGAAAGGUCAUGGGUUCAAUUCCCAUAUUGUCCA
rfam:Podospora anserina genomic DNA, chromosome 5.